CCUACGGGAGGCUGCAGUGAGGAAUAUUGGUCAAUGGACGAGAGUCUGAACCAGCCAAGUCGCGUGAAGGAAGACGGUUCUAUGAAUUGUAAACUUCUUUUGUGCAGGAAUAAAGUGGGUUACGUGUAACCUUUUGUAUGUACUGUACGAAUAAGGAUCGGCUAACUCCGUGCCAGCAGCCGCGGUAAUACGGAGGAUCCGAGCGUUAUCCGGAUUUAUUGGGUUUAAAGGGUGCGUAGGUGGAUUGAUAAGUCAGCGGUGAAAGUUUGCAGCUUAACUGUAAAAUUGCCGUUGAAACUGUCGGUCUUGAGUGCAAAUGAGGUAGGCGGAAUGUGUUGUGUAGCGGUGAAAUGCUUAGAUAUAACACAGAACUCCGAUUGCGAAGGCAGCUUACUGGGAUGCAACUGACACUGAUGCACGAAAGCGUGGGUAUCAAACAGGCUUAGAUACCCCGGUAGUC
rnacentral:rRNA from 1 species